AGAGUUUGAUCCUGGCUCAGGACGAACGCUGACGGUGUGCUUUAGACAUGCAAGUCGAACGAGAAAGCCNNUCGGGGUGAGUACAGUGGCGAACGGGUGAGUAACACGUGGGUAACCUGCCCCUCGCAGAGGGACAACCGGGGGAAACCCCGGCUAAUACCUCGUACGCUUGCCGGACCGCAUGGCUCGGCAAGGAAAGGUAGCUUCGGCCAUCCGGCGAGGGAUGGGCCCGCGGUCCAUUAGCUAGUUGGUGGGGUAACGGCCCACCAAGGCGACGAUGGAUAGCUGGUCUGAGAGGACGAUCAGCCACACUGGGACUGAGACACGGCCCAGACUCCUACGGGAGGCAGCAGUCGGGAAUCUUGCGCAAUGGGCGAAAGCCUGACGCAGCAACACCGUGUGGGCGACGAGGGCCUUCGGGUCGUAAAGCCCUGUUGUUGGGGACGAAGGGCGAAGGGUUAAUAGCCCCUAGCCUGACGGUACCCUUCGAGGAAGCCCCGGCUAACUACGUGCCAGCAGCCGCGGUAAUACGUAGGGGGCGAGCGUUGUCCGGAAUUAUUGGGCGUAAAGAGCGUGUAGGCGGUUCGGUAAGUCUGUCGUGAAAACCUGGGGCUCAACCCCGGGCGUGCGGUGGAUACUGCCGGGCUAGAGGGUGGUAGAGGCGAGUGGAAUUCCCGGUGUAGCGGUGAAAUGCGCAGAUAUCGGGAGGAACACCAGUAGCGAAGGCGGCUCGCUGGGCCAUUCCUGACGCUGAGACGCGAAAGCAUGGGGAGCNCAGGAUUAGAUACCCNNGUAGUCC
rnacentral:rRNA from 1 species